ACUGCUAUCGGUGUUCGCCUAAGCCAUGCGAGUCAUAUGUAGCAAUACAUGGCGUACUGCUCAGUAACACGUGGAUAACCUGCCCUUGGGUCCGGCAUAACCCCGGGAAACUGGGGAUAAUUCCGGAUACCGCAUAUGUGCUGGAAUGCUUUAUGCGUAAAAUGGAUUCGUCUGCCCAAGGAUGGGUCUGCGGCCUAUCAGGUAGUAGUGGGUGUAAUGUACCUACUAGCCGACAACGGGUACGGGUUGUGAGAGCAAGAGCCCGGAGAUGGAUUCUGAGACAUGAAUCCAGGCCCUACGGGGCGCAGCAGGCGCGAAAACUUUACAAUGCGGGAAACCGUGAUAAGGGGACACCGAGUGUCAGCGUCAUACGCUGGCUGUCCAGGUGUGUAAAAUACACCUGUUAGCAAGGGCCGGGCAAGACCGGUGCCAGCCGCCGCGGUAACACCGGCGGCCCGAGUGGUGAUCGUGAUUAUUGGGUCUAAAGGGUCCGUAGCCGGUUUGGUCAGUCCUCCGGGAAAUCUGAUAGCUCAACUAUUAGGCUAUCGGGGGAUACUACCAGACUUGGAACCGGGAGAGGUAAGAGGUACUACAGGGGUAGGAGUGAAAUCUUGUAAUCCCUGUGGGACCACCUGUGGCGAAGGCGUCUUACCAGAACGGGUUCGACAGUGAGGGACGAAAGCUGGGGGCACGAACCGGAUUAGAUACCCGGGUAGUCCCAGCCGUAAACGAUGCUCGCUAGGUGUCAGGCAUGGCGCGACCGUGUCUGGUGCCGCAGGGAAGCCGUGAAGCGAGCCACCUGGGAAGUACGGCCGCAAGGCUGAAACUUAAAGGAAUUGGCGGGGGAGCACAACAACGGGUGGAGCCUGCGGUUUAAUUGGAUUCAACGCCGG
rnacentral:rRNA from 1 species